GGGGAAUAUKSCACAAUGGGCGCAAGCCUGAUGCAGCUAUGCCGCGUGUAUGAAGAAGGCCUUAGGGUUGUAAAGUACUUUCAAUAAGGAAGAAGUAAUAAAAUAUAAUAUGUUUUAUUAUUGACGUUACUUAUAAAAGAAGCACCGGCUAACUCCGUGCCAGCAGCCGCGGUAAUACGGAGGGUGCUAGCGUUAAUCGGAAUUACUGGGCGUAAAGAGCACGUAGGCGGUUUAUUAAGUCAGAUGUGAAAUCCCUAAGCUUAACUUAGGAACUGCAUUUGAAACUAAUUUACUUGAGUAUCAUAGAGGGGAGUAGAAUUCCAGGUGUAGCGGUGAAAUGCGUAGAUAUCUGGAGGAAUACCAGUGGCGAAGGCGACUCCCUGGAUGAAUACUGACGCUCAGGUGCGAAAGCAUGGGUAGCAAACAGGAUUAGAUACCCUGGUAGUCCAUGCUGUAAACGAUGUCGACUUGGAGGUUGUAAGCUUGUCUUGUAGCUUCCGUAGCUAACGCGUUAAGUCGACCGCCUGGGGAGUACGACCGCAAGGUUAAAACUCAAAUGAAUUGACGGGGGCCCGCACAAGCGGUGGAGCAUGUGGUUUAAUUCGAUGCAACGCGAAAAACCUUACCUGGUCUUGACAUCCAUGGAAUUUAAUAGAGAUAUUUUAGUGCCUUCGGGAACCAUGAGACAGGUGCUGCAUGGCUGUCGUCAGCUCGUGUUGUGAAAUGUUGGGUUAAGUCCCGCAACGAGCGCAACCCUUGUCCUUUGUUGCCAACGGUUCGGCCGGGAACUCAAAGGAGACUGCUGGUGAUAAGCCGGAGGAAGGUGGGGAUGACGUCAAGUCAUCAUGGCCCUUACGACCAGGGCUACACACGUGCUACAAUGGUAUAUACAAAGGGAAGCAUCCUCGCAAGAGUAAGCGGAUCUCAUAAAAUAUAUCUUAGUUCGGAUUGGAGUCUGCAACUCGACUCUAUGAAGUCGGAAUCGCUAGUAAUCGUAGAUCAGAAUGCUACGGUGAAUACGUUCCCGGGCCUUGUACACACCGCCCGUCACACCAUGGGAGUGGGUUGUAAAAGAAGUAGGUUGCUUAACCUUUAUGGAGAGCGCUUACCACUUUGUGAUUCAUAACUGGGGUGAAGUCGUAACAAG
rnacentral:rRNA from 1 species